UACGUAGGGCGCAAGCGUUAUCCGGAAUUAUUGGGCGUAAAGAGCUCGUAGGCGGUUUGUCACGUCUGCUGUGAAAACUCGGGGCUUAACUCCGGGCCUGCAGUGGGUACGGGCAGACUAGAGUGCGGUAGGGGAGACUGGAAUUCCUGGUGUAGCGGUGAAAUGCGCAGAUAUCAGGAGGAACACCGGUGGCGAAGGCGGGUCUCUGGGCCGUAACUGACGCUGAGGAGCGAAAGCGUGGGGAGCGAACAGG
rnacentral:rRNA from 1 species